rnacentral:rRNA from 1 species
UAGGGAAUCUUCGGCAAUGGACGAAAGUCUGACCGAGCAACGCCGCGUGAGUGAAGAAGGUUUUCGGAUCGUAAAACUCUGUUGGUAGAGAAGAACGUUGGUGAGAGUGGAAAGCUCAUCAAGUGACGGUAACUACCCAGAAGGGGACGGCUAACUACGUGC